CCAGCGUGCCGCGCGGCCCGGUGACGCGGAGCCGGAAGUGAGGAACAUGAGGUUCUAGGGCGCGAGGGAAGCGGCUAGCGGGGGCGAGGGGGCGUGCACGUGAAUCCCCUGGCCAGAUCUCUGGCAUGGCCGAGGCCAGGAAGCGGCGGGAGCUGCUUCCCCUCAUUUACCAUCAUCUGUUGCAAGCAGGCUACGUCCGCGCGGCGCGGGAAGUAAAGGAGCAGAGCGGCCAGAAGAGUUUCCUGACUCAGCCCGUCACCCUUCUGGACAUCUAUACACACUGGCAACAGACCUCAGAGCUUGGCCAGAAGCAGAAGGCAGAGGAUGAUGAGACCCUUCAGGCUAAGAAGUCUCGAGUGUCGGAUCCUGUUAGCAGCUCAGAGAGCUCGGAUCAGGAGAAGGAAGAGGAGGCAGCAACCGAAAGGGCCAAAGCCACCCCAAGACCGACACCUGUCAAUUCUGCAACCGCAGCUUUGCCAUCAAAAGUAAAAGAAAAGGGAAAGACCAAGACAGCCAACAAGACGGUGAACUCUGUGUCGCACCCUGGGUCCGGAAAGACGGUGGUCCACCUGCUCUCUGGGAAGUCACCCAAAAAGUCAGCAGAGCCCUUGGCAAACACUGUCUUGGCCUCAGAAACUGAGGAGGAGGGCAAUGCCCAAGCCCUCGGACCCACUGCCAAGUCUGGAACGGUGUCAGCGGGCCAAGGCAGCAGUUCCAGUGAAGAUUCCUCCAUCUCAAGCGAUGAGACAGAUGUCGAGGUGAAAUCUCCAGCAAAACCAGCCCAGGCCAAAGCUUCAGCAGCCCCUGCCAAGGAUCCUCCAGCAAGAACAGCCCCAGGCCCUACCAAGUUAGGGAAUGUGGCGCCCACACCUGCUAAACCAGCCAGGGCGGCAGCGGCAGCUGCUGCUGCUGCUGUGGCUGCUGCUGCUGCUGCAGCAGCAGAAGAGUCUGAGAGCAGUGAGGAGGACUCAGACAGUGAGGACGAGGCCCCUGCUGGUCUGCCCAGCCAGGUAAAAGCCUCUGGAAAAGGUCCCCAUGUCAGAGCCGACUCGGUGUCUGCCAAGGGGAUCUCUGGGAAAGGGCCCAUCUUAGCAACCCCAGGGAAGACUGGGCCUGCAGCCACCCAGGCCAAGGCAGAAAGGCCAGAGAAGGACUCGGAAACCAGCAGUGAGGACGAUUCUGAUAGUGAGGAUGAAAUGCCAGUCACUGUGAAUACUCCUCAGGCAAGGACUUCUGGGAAGAGCCCUCGGGCCAGAGGUACCUCAGCCCCCGCCAAGGAGUCAUCCCAGAAAGGGGCUCCUGCAGUCACCCCUGGAAAGGCAAGGCCUGUGGCAGCCCAGGCAGGGAAACCAGAAGCCAAGAGCAGUGAGGAGUCAGAGAGUGACAGUGGGGAGACACCAGCUGCUGCGACUCUGACCACGAGUCCUGCCAAGGUGAAACCUUUGGGGAAGAGCUCCCAGGUCAGACCUGUUUCCACCGUCACCCCGGGGUCAUCGGGAAAAGGUGCCAACCUGCCCUGCCCUGGGAAGGUGGGGUCAGCAGCUCUCAGGGUCCAAAUGGUAAAGAAAGAAGAUGUCUCGGAGAGCAGCAGUGCAGAGCUGGACAGUGACGGGCCUGGGAGCCCAGCCAAGGCAAAGGCCUCCCUUGCGCUCCCUCAGAAGGUGAGGCCUGUGGCCACCCAGGUCAAGACUGACAGGGGCAAAGGCCACUCAGGGAGCAGUGAGGAGUCAUCUGACAGCGAAGAGGAGGCAGCACCAGCAGCCUCUGCUGCUCAGGCUAAGCCAGCUCUGGAAAAGCAGAUGAAAGCUUCCUCUAGGAAAGGCACGCCUGCAUCCGCAACAGGAGCGAGCACCUCGUCCCAUUGUAAGGCAGGAGCGGUGACCUCUUCAGCCAGCCUGUCAUCCCCAGCUCUGGCCAAGGGCACCCAGAGGUCAGAUGUGGACUCUUCCAGUGAGUCUGAGUCAGAAGGAGCUGCUCCCAGCACCCCCAGGGUACAGGGGAAGUCUGGGGGCAAGGGCCUCCAAGGGAAAGCUGCCUUGGGGCAAGGGGUGGCCCCAGUGCACACUCAGAAGACAGGGCCUUCGGUCAAAGCUAUGGCUCAGGAAGACUCAGAGAGCCUCGAGGAGGACUCCAGCAGUGAGGAAGAGGAUGAGACCCCAGCACAGGCCACGCCCUUGGGGAGACUUCCUCAGGCCAAAGCCAACCCACCUCCCACUAAGACACCUCCAGCGUCUGCAUCUGGAAAAGCUGUGGCUGCUCCAACCAAGGGAAAACCACCUGUUCCGAACAGCACCGUCUCUGCAAGGGGCCAGCGGUCUGUGCCAGCCGCGGGAAAAGCAGGGGCCCCAGCAACCCAAGCCCAGAAGGGUCCCGUGGCUGGCACAGGGGAGGACUCAGAGAGCAGCAGUAAAGAGGAGUCUGACAGUGAAGAAGAGACGCCAGCCCAGAUAAAACCUGUGGGGAAGACCUCUCAGGUCAGAGCUGCCUCAGCCCCUGCCAAGGAGUCUCCUAAAAAAGGAGCCCAUCCAGGAACCCCCGGCAAGACGGGAUCUUCAGCUACCCAGGCCCAGCCAGGGAAGACAGAGGACUCAGACAGCAGUAGUGAAGAGUCUGACAGUGACACAGAGAUGCCAUCAGCCCAGGAUGCUAUCUCCCAGCCUGCCAGAGGCAAAGCGUCAGGUCCAGCGUCCCCAGAGAAGAGCAUAGAAGGGUCCUCAGAGAGCAGUGAUGAGGAUCUGCCCUCCGGCCAGGCGAUUAAAUCCCCUCCAGUUUCUGUCAACCGUAACAGUAGUCCAGCUGUCCCAGCUCCUACCCCAGAAGGAGUCCAGGCUGUGAACACCACAAAGAAGGCCUCAGGCACCACUGCCCAGAGCUCCUCCUCUGAGAGUGAGGACGGGGACGAGGACUUGAUUCCUGCCACACAACCCUCCACCUAUGCUCUCAGAACCAGUGUGACGACGCCCGCAGCCCUCUCACGAGCAGCUUCCCAACCCAGCAAGAGUGAGCAGUCUAGCCGGAUGCCAAAAGGCAAGAAAGCAAAGGCGGCGGCGUCCGCUCAGGUACUGUCGGACCAGCAGUGCCGUGGAAACACUCCCCAUGAUGCCUCCCCAGAGCGCACCCAUCCAGCCCAAAGCCACCAACAAGCUCGGGAAAUCCAAGCUCCCUGAGAAGCAGCAGCUUGCCCCAGGCUACCCCAAGGCCCCCAGGAGCUCGGAGGACAGCAGUGACACUUCUUCCGAGGACGAGGAGGAUGCCAAGAGACCCCAGAUGCCCAAGUCGGCCCACAGGCUGGAUCCAGACCCUUCCCAGAAGGAAACUGUGGUAGAGGAGACCCCUACAGAAUCCAGCGAAGAUGAGAUGGUGGCCCCCUCACAGUCUCUCCUCUCAGGUUACAUGACUCCCGGCUUGACUGUGGCUAAUUCCCAGGCUUCAAAAGCUACUCCUAGGCCAGACUCCAACUCCUUAGCUUCUUCUGCCCCGGCCACCAAAGACAACCCGGAUGGCAAGCAGAAGUCAAAAUCCCAACACGCAGCAGACACCGCACUCCCUAAAACCGGUAGGAAAGAGGCCUCCUCGGGCUCCACGCCUCAGAAGCCCAAGAAGCUCAAGAAGAGCACCUCAAGCUCGCCGGCCCCCACACAGACACUGCCGAACAGCAUCACCCAGCGCCUCCUGGAGCAGGCCUGGCCCCUGAGCGAGGCGCAGGUGCAGGCCUCUGUGGUGAAGGUCCUGACAGAGCUUCUGGAGCAGGAACGGCUGAAGGCCACAGAGGCCAUCAAGGAGAGUGGGAAGAAGAGCCAGAAGCGGAAGUUAUCAGGGGACCUAGAAGCUGGGGCCCCAAAGAACAAGAAGAAGAAGGAGCAGCCAGUGCCCAGGGCAAGCGCUGUUUCCCCAGAAAAGGCUCCCAUGACUUCCAAGGCAAAAUCAAAGCUUGACAAAGGGAGUGCUGGUGGCAAGGGGAAGGGGUCUCCUGGCCCCCAAGGAGCCAAGGAGAAGCCCGACGGCGAGUUGCUGGGGAUAAAGCUUGAGAGUGGCGAGCAGAGCGACCCGAAGAGCAAGUCGAAAAAGAAGAAAUCCCUCAAGAAAAAAAAAGACAAGGAGAAAAAGGAAAAGAAGAAAGGAAAAAAGUCCCUGGCCAAAGACUCUGCCUCGCCGAUCCAGAAGAAGAAAAAGAAGAAGAAGAAGUCAGCCGAGCCUGCCGUGUGAGGCCCAACGCAUAGAGCAGAAUCUUGGCAGAGUGUGACCAUCCAUCCCCAGGCCUCUGACCUCUGGCCAGCGUGAAUUGGGCCUGGACUUUUUAACUUUCCCUCCCUCAGCAGAAGAUGAUGGCUGGCGCGUGCUGGCCAAACCAGUGAACCCGCAGGGAAGCUGCAGUACCAGGAGGAAGCGAGGUGGGACACACACCCCCUCUGAGUGCUACGUGACAUGUGUAUAGUAUAUCUAUUUUUUUAAGCGACUUGCCUCUCUCCCUUCAAAUCCACCGUGCCCAGAGGCCUCCGGACCUCCCUCCAUGUUAUCUGCAGAGCCAGCAAGGUCCCGCGUGUGGUUCAUCCCACACCCUGGACCCCUGGCGCAGCCUGAAGCCUUGCCCCAUCAAUUUUUCCAGCUAUUUUGGUUUUGUUUUUUAAAGAACUCAGAAUAAAAGACUUUAAAUAUAAA